GCCCGGCUAGCUCAAUCGGUAGAGCGUGAGACUCUUAUGCAUGAUCGUCAUCAGUCCCAUGCGCAGGGUUCAUCUCAAGGUUGUGGGUUCGACCCCCACGUCGGGCU